UACGUAGGGUGCGAGCGUUAAUCGGAAUUACUGGGCGUAAAGCGUGCGCAGGCGGUUCGUUAAGUUCGUUGUGAAAGCCCCGGGCUCAACCUGGGAACUGCAAUGGAAACUGGCGGGCUUGAAUGCGGGAGAGGGGGGGUGGAAUUCCGCGUGUAGCAGUGAAAUGCGUAGAGAUGCGGAGGAACACCGAUGGCGAAGGCAGCCCCCUGGGCCGACAUUGACGCUCAGGCACGAAAGCGUGGGGAGCAAACAGG
rnacentral:rRNA from 1 species